rnacentral:lncRNA from 1 species
GUUUUGGAGUGCAGGCGUGAAUAGUCCUUUCUGUCCUGCUUUGAGUACUGCUGUUGGGUGCCUUGGGGGGACCUUAAGGGAGCUCGGAAGUUGAGACGUGGUGAGUGCGAGAUCACUGCCCACAAAGGGGAGGAGCAGGCGGAUGAACAGCCAGAGCUGCAAUGGUGGAUCCUCCUCCAGGGCUGCAUGGGACGACAGAUAGAUGAGGCUCUAGGACGGGCACAAAUGCUACCCGAAUGCAAACCACUCCGGAGAUCUGUAAAAGGACUGGCCCCGGACAGGAAGCACACUUUAAACUAGAGGCGGGAGUCAAAGCCCCGGUGAAGAUUCUGUGACGGUUCAUUGUAUAAUUUAUGAUGAUGAAGAUUGAGUUGCAUUUUGCGGAAAAGAGAUGUUGAGAUAUCUAAGGCAUUGAGAAAUCUGUCAUGCAGACAUGCACACAGGGAGAGGGAGUACCCAAACUGAUGAGAACUUACAGGAAUUGGACCAUCUAAGCCCUUAGAAAGUGAAGUCCACUGUGUCUCAAACAAAGAUCUUCAUCCACAUCUUGAAGUUUGAAGUUUGGCCAAGAAUAUACAAAAUAGAUUCUCUUUCUCAGGAUGGCAAGUGUUCAUGACAUCAAUACUACCCAAGGCUUCAGAGUCAUUGGAUUGCAGGUGUCUCUAUGGUUUCAAUUCAGCACUAUUCCAUCCAUCUUUUGGCAGAGUCAGAGCCCCGGUGAAGAUUCUGUGAGAGUUCAUUGUAUUGAAUUUAUGAUGAUGAAGAUUGAGUUGCAUUUUGCGGAAAAGAGAUGUUGAGAUACCUAAGGCAUUGAGAAAUCUGUCAUGCAGACAUGCACACAGGGAGAGGGAGUACCCAAAAUGAUGAGAAGUUACAGGAAUUGGACCAUCUAAGCCCUUAGAAAGUGAAGUCCACUGUGUCUCAAACAAAGAUCUUCAUCCACAUCUUGAAGUUUGAAGUUUGGCCAAGAAUAUACAGAGUAGAUUCUCUUUCUCAGGAUGGCAUGUGUUCAUGACAUCAAUACUACCCAAGGCUUCAGAGUCAUUGGAUUGCAG